rnacentral:rRNA from 1 species
UACAGAGGGGGCAAGCGUUGUUCGGAAUUACUGGGCGUAAAGGGCGCGUAGGCGGCCUUCUAAGUCGAACGUGAAAUCCCCGGGCUCAACCCGGGAACUGCGUCCGAUACUGGAAGGCUUGAAUCCGGGAGAGGGAUGCGGAAUUCCAGGUGUAGCGGUGAAAUUCGUAGAUAUUCGCAAGAACACCAGUGGCGAAGGCGGCUCACUGGCCCGGAACUGACGCUGAGACGCGAAAGCGUGGGGAGCAAACAGG